rnacentral:rRNA from 1 species
CCGAAAACGGAUAAUCCUUUAAAGACAUUUGUUAUGGUGUUAUCUUUGUAUGUUGCACUACAUCAUGGAAUUUAUUGAUAAGCCAGUUGCGAACUUUUAUCAUCUAAGAAAUUAGGAACAUGACGCCAACUAUAUAAACGACUAAUAAAGUGCCAGCAGUCGCGGUCACACUUUAGUUUAUAAUAAAGACUAUCAGGGUAACAUUAAGUUAAUUAUUUCUCGUAGUAAAAUACAGACAAAAUACUUUAACACUUAUCAAGAUACAAAUACUGGUACCAAACAGGGAUUAGAUACCCCUUUAUGCAGUACACGAUAUUCAACUCUGGGCACUAAAAUCAUCAGAUUUAAACCCAACUAACAUGGCGGUAGUUUAAAUAUUUAGGGGAACUUACUAAGUAAAUGAUAACCACCAAGAAUAUAAACGUUUAAUAACAUUUUACAUACCGUCGUCGUCAGAUAUUCUAAAAUAGGAUGUCAUAAUAUAAAAAUAAAAAGACAGAUCAAGGUGUAGACCACCUAAGCGAUUUAGCGAGUUACAAUAUUGCUUAUUUUCAUAUUCUAGCUUUAAUGCUAUUUUAAGGAGGACUUAAAAGUAAUAAUCAUUAUACUUAAAUUAUGAAUGCUUUUUAAUCUGUGC